rnacentral:rRNA from 1 species
UACGUAGGGACCAAGCGUUGUUCGGAUUUACUGGGCGUAAAGAGCUCGUAGGCGGCUCGGUAAGUGAGGUGUGAAAACUCCAGGCUCAACCUGGAGACGCCACCUCAUACUGCCGUGGCUAGAGUCCGGUAGGGGAGCAUGGAAUUCCUGGUGUAGCGGUGAAAUGCGCAGAUAUCAGGAAGAACACCCGUGGCGAAGGCGGCUCUCUGGGACGGUACUGACGCUGAGACGCGAAAGCGUGGGGAGCGAACAGG